CUUACACAUNGCAAGUCGAACGGCAGCACGGGGGCAACCCUGGUGGCGAGUGGCGAACGGGUGAGUAACAUAUCGGAACGUGCCCUGGAGUGGGGGAUAACUAGUCGAAAGAUUAGCUAAUACCGCAUACGAUCUACGGAUGAAAGUGGGGGAUCGCAAGACCUCAUGCUCGUGGAGCGGCCGAUAUCUGAUUAGCUAGUUGGUGGGGUAAAGGCCUACCAAGGCAUCGAUCAGUAGCUGGUCUGAGAGGACGACCAGCCACACUGGGACUGAGACACGGCCCAGACUCCUACGGGAGGCAGCAGUGGGGAAUUUUGGACAAUGGGCGCAAGCCUGAUCCAGCAAUGCCGCGUGAGUGAAGAAGGCCUUCGGGUUGUAAAGCUUUUUUGUCAGGGAAGAAACGGUUCGGGUUAAUACCUUGGGCUAAUGACGGUACUUGAAGAAUAAGCACCGGCUAACUACGUGCCAGCAGCCGCGGUAAUACGUAGGGUGCAAGCGUUAAUCGGAAUUACUGGGCGUAAAGCGUGCGCAGGCGGUUGUGCAAGACAGAUGUGAAAUCCCCGGGCUCAACUUGGGAAUUGCAUUUGUGACUGUACGGCUAGAGUGUGUCAGAGGGGGGUAGAAUUCCACGUGUAGCAGUGAAAUGCGUAGAGAUGUGGAGGAAUACCGAUGGCGAAGG
rnacentral:rRNA from 1 species